rnacentral:rRNA from 1 species
GAAUUCGAUUCGGUGUGACAAGGCCCGGGAACGUAUUCACCGCGGGCGUGCUGAUCCGCGAUUACUAGCGAUUCCAACUUCAUGGAGUCGAGUUGCAGACUCCAAUCCGAACUGAGAGCGGCUUUUUGGGAUUAGCUCCCCCUCGCGGGUUUGCAACCCUUUGUACCGCCCAUUGUAGCACGUGUGUGGCCCUGGACAUAAGGGCCAUGAUGACUUGACGUCGUCCCCACCUUCCUCCGGCUUAACGCCGGCAGUCUCCCUAGAGUGCCCAACUUAAUGGUGGCAACUAAGGACGAGGGUUGCGCUCGUUGCGGGACUUAACCCAACACCUCACGGCACGAGCUGACGACAGCCAUGCAGCACCUGAACCGGCAGUCCCCGAAGGGAAAAUCCUAUUUCUAGGACGGUCCACCGUUGUCUAGCCCAGGUAAGGUUCUUCGCGUUAAUCACUA